GGGAGAUCAGUGAGCUAGCAGCAGAGAAGCCUUCCUGGAAAAGUCUUCAAAACUACAUCUAUACCUGUUCCUGUAUUAUUGAAAAAUAAUAACAAGAUAAACCUGGCCAGCUAUACAAAUGCUCUGAGGGUUGAGAUAACAUGCAAAUGUAGCCUCACGUAUCAAUGUGUGAAAGCUGGACAGACCACACAGCUCAGAAAAGGAAGUACACUCUGCAUAGCUAACUUGCACAUUCACUAUCCAAGCUGCACCAUCUUCGGGGUCAUUGUGUGCCAGGCAUAUCAACUCUUUUCAAUAAAAAUGGUAAGUAAUAGAUUUUAUAACUCUCCUUGGUCUCCUGGCAAAUGUGCUACUCUUCUCUGCAUAGAACAGUCAGAGUUGAGGGUGCUUCACAGUCAGGUCCUCUGAGCCUUUG
rnacentral:lncRNA from 1 species